rnacentral:rRNA from 1 species
UACAGAGGGGGGCAAGCGUUGUUCGGAAUUACUGGGCGUAAAGGGCGCGUAGGCGGCCUUCUAAGUCGAACGUGAAAUCCCUGGGCUCAACCCAGGAACUGCGUCCGAUACUGGAAGGCUUGAAUCCGGGAGAGGGAUGCGGAAUUCCAGGUGUAGCGGUGAAAUGCGUAGAUAUCUGGAGGAACACCGGUGGCGAAGGCGGCAUCCUGGACCGGUAUUGACGCUGAGGCGCGAAAGCCAGGGGAGCAAAGCGGG